rnacentral:miRNA from 1 species
UAUCACAGUGGUUGAGAGAGCG